AUCUCUGAGAAGUUUAAAUAUCAUGUACAUGAGAAACUCACGACAAGGGCAAACUGUUUCGGUUUGUGUAGUGAUAUGCGCUACAGGUGUAGACCUCCGAAAAUACGCAUUCUUACAUCCUAUGUUGCAACAUAAUUCGGAACAAGUGUCUAAUUCUCUCACUCUCAUGUGAAACAUGUUUCGGAACCUGUGUUUGACUGUGCGCGGGACUCGUUCUUUUGCGCUGUUUAGCCGUGUUCAAAAUGGAAACAACCCCGGCAAAAGUACCGACUUGGAAAACAGAUUAAAAGAGAUUUUACGACAGCAGUUUCCAAAGGCGAAAAGUAUUGAUGUAGUUGAUAUUUCGGGUGGUUGUGGAGCAAUGUUUGAAAUUUCUGUGGAGGCUCCAGAGUUUAAAGGUCUUAAUACAGUCAAACAGCAUCGCUUAGUAAACAAUGCCCUCAAGGAACAAAUUAAGGAAAUGCAUGGAUUGAGAAUUCAUACAUCAGUCCCAUCUUAGUGAGUGCAAAGCAAAUAUAUGAGAAAUGUGACUGCAAUAUUUUGACUGCAGAAAAUGGUAGAUGAGGAGCUUAUGUCAUAGACUCUGCAUCCUGCCCACGUCCUGGAGACAACUAUAUCUUCAGCAGCAUCAUUGCAUCAAUCAUCAAAGUGUAUGGAAGCACUCAACUCAAGUUAAUGUGAGCUCAGGACCCUGUUUGAUUCCACGAGACAUCUGUAACUUCAAAAGCAGCACUGCAUCCAUCAUUGAACAAUAUUUGCCUAUAAGGACUUAUUUUUUCAGUUAACGAUGUACAAAAACUUGCAUUAAAAUAUGUGUAAUAAAAUGACAUUUACGAAUU